ACUGCAUGUCGAGCGGAUAGGCCCUUUUGGGGGUACUCGAGCGGCGAACGGGUGAGUAACACGUGAGUAAUCUGCCCUUCACUUCGGGAUAGCUCCGGGAAACCGGGAUUAAUACCGGAUAUGACCACAGGACCGCAUGGUGUUGUGGUGGAAACUUUUUGGGUGGGGGAUGUGCUCGCGGCCUAUCAGCUUGUUGGUGGGGUAAUGGCCUACCAAGGCUUCGACGGGUAGCCGGCCUGACAGGGUGACCGGCCACACUGGGACUGAUACACGGCCCAUACUCCUACGCGAGGCAGCAUUGGGGAAUAUUGGACAAUGGGCGGAAGCCUGAUCCAGCAACGCCGCGUGAGGGAUGACGGCCUUCGGGUUGUAAACCUCUUUCAACACCGACAAAACGUGAGUGACGGUAGGUGCAGAAGAAGACCGGCCACUACGUGCCUACAGCCGCGGCAGUCGUAGGGUCGAGCGUUUCCGGAACAUUGCCGUAAGGGCUCUUCGGCGGUUUGAACGACGGGAUGAACACACGGGGCUAUCUUCAUGCUGCUUUCUAACGGGGCACUGGAGGUUGCACGGGAGAACGGAUUCCUGGCGUAGCGGAAAAUGCCCGAUCUCAGAGGAACCCGGUGGUAACGCCUUCUCUGGCAUGACCUGACCUCAGGAGCGAAGUACGCGAGCAACACGAUAGAUCCCUGGUCAUCCCACCGUAACAUUGGCGCUCGUGUGGACCAUUCACGCUACCUGCAUACUACGCUUACGACCCUCCGAGAGACGGCGAAGGUAAACUCAAUGAUGACGCGAUGGGAAUCGUUAACCGUCGCUAUCCUUAUGAGGUAAUCUCAGUUGCUAU
rnacentral:rRNA from 1 species